AAUAACGUUAUUGUUGUUGUUCAUGCUGUUGUUGUUGAUGUCCAUCCCACCACAUGUACACAAUUUACCUUGGGUUUGAUCCAAUACUUUGCACUUAUCCAGGGAUUAUCAUUGAAUUGUAGCCGGUCAAGAAGCUUCAACGAUGGGUGACAUGGCGAAAGAUGGACGAUUCUCGCACAUUGCGAGUGAUCCCAGGUUCAAAACAAUUCCUCGUUCUCAGCGGCAAGUUAAAAUUGACAAGCGUUUCCAAGGAAUGUUCAAAGAUGAACGUUUUAAAAUGAAUUAUACUGUAGACAAAAGAGGAAAACCCAUCUCCCGUACUUCAAAUGAAGACCUAGAACGUUAUUAUGCACUAUCAUCUAGUGAAUCUGAAGAGGAGGAAGACAACGACAAAGAUAGUGAUGACAAAGAUCAUCCAUCCAUUUUGCCCCAAUUAAAAAAGCUUGCCUCCACGUCCAAGAAAUCUGAAGAACUGGAGACUGGUAGUUCAGAUGUUGAAAGUGCAUCCGGUAGUGAGGCAGAAAGUGAACCUGAUGCCUCGGAAGAUGACCGCAAACUUGAGGAUGCGACUGAAAAUCUUAGUGACAAAAUCAAAUCAAAACUGCAUGAUAUGUCAGUGGAUUAUGCAAGAGGAGAAGGAGCAAUUCUUUCUGACAGCUCCUCAGAUGAGGAAAGUAGUGACGAAGACCAGGAUGCAACUGUUGAACAUGGUUGGGGCGAGCUAGAUCGAGAUGCUGAAAGAGCAGAUGACAUAACACACCGUCUCGCCGUCUGUAAUAUGGAUUGGGACCGGAUUAGAGCAGUAGAUCUAAUGGUUCUUUUAAAUUCAUUCACUCCUCCUGGGGGCCUCAUUCGUUCCGUCACAAUAUACCCAUCAGAUUUUGGAUUGAAAAGAAUGAAGCUGGAUGAAGAGGAAGGCCCUACUGAACUCAUUGAAAAUAGCUCCAGGAAAAAGAAUAAGGAUGGUUUUAAUUUAAGUCAAGAUGAUGAGCCGAAAGAUGAUGGUGCUAGUGAUGACGAUGACGAUGAUGGUAGUAGUGAGGAAACAAGACCAGAAGAUGAGAAUGAAGAAGGUAGUAGUUACCACAUGGAAAAGCUAAGACAAUAUCAACUAAACAGAUUAAAAUACUUCUAUGCUAUUGUAGAAUGUGACUCUCCAAACACCGCAAACCACAUUUACACAGAAUGUGAUGGUAUGGAAUAUGAAAGUAGUGCCACUCGGUUAGAUCUGAGAUUUGUACCAGAUGAUACCACAUUUGAACACGCAGCAAAGGAAUCUUGCUCUGGGAUGCCUGAUGCUGGAAAGUACAGGCCUCGUUAUUUCACCACUACAGCUCUGCACCAAGCUAAAGUGGAUUUGACCUGGGAUGAAACAGAUCCCUCGCGUACGGAAAUAACAGAACGUGUUAUGUCGGGCGAUAAUGUAGAUGAUAUUGAUUUGCGCACAUACUUAGCAUCCUCUAGUGGAGAGGAGGAGGAGGUUUCAGAAAAAGUUAACUCUAAGAAGAAGAAGAAGAAGAAUGAAAAGCUUAAUAGCAAUGGUACAAAACUAGUGGGAGAAAAGUCAGACAAUGACCAAACUGACAGCGAAAAUGAGGACAAUGAUGAUCCUAUUGCUAAAUACCGUGCACUGCUGAGUGGAAUAGAGGAGGAAGAAAAUGAAAAGAAUAACAAGGGUGUGCAUAUGGAAAUUUCAUGGGGUCUAGGCCUAAAACAAAAGACUGAUGAAGCAAUAAAAAAGAAAAUGUUGAAAUCAGAGGAGCGAACACCUUUCCAGGAGAUGAUGGACAAGCGUAAACAGAAGCGCCUUGAAAAGAAAAAGCUGAAAGAACAGAAAAAGGCACAGAUAUCUGAACAAAGUGCCAAUGAAAAUGAGGAUGGUACAUAUUCAGAUGAUGAUAUUCCAUCAGACAUAGACAUGAAUGAUCCAUACUUUGCUGAAGAGUUCAAAGAUCAAAAGAAACAAUCAAAGAAAAAGAAAGGAAAGCUCCGUGAAGAUGCUGGUGAAACAGAAGAAGACUUGAAAAACAAGGCGGAACUUGAAUUAUUACUUCUUGACAAGGAGGAUCGGAAGCAUUUCAAUUUUAAGAAAAUCCAAGAGGAAGAAAGUGGUAACCUUAGCAAAAGAAAAAUGAAAGCUAGACGGAAGAAAGGAAAAGAUCUUGAAAAAGAAUCCCAAGAUGAUUUCAAGGUCAACGUUGAUGAUGAUCGCUUUUCUGCAUUAUACUCUUCUCAUCAUUACAACAUUGACCCAACACACCCGAAUUUCCGAAAGGGUCAAGGGAUGGAGGCACUUAUUUCUGCCAAACAAAAGAGACUAGUUGAAUCUAGUCAGGAGAGUUUUUCAGAUAGCAAUCAAAAGCCCCCUCCUCCUAAAAAAGCUAAACGAGAUGCAGAACUUUCCCGUCUUGUCAAAUCUGUUAAGAACAAGGCACAAAACUUGGCCAAAUGAUUAAUUAGGGAUCUCAGGACAUGGUGAGCAAUUCUUGCUAGAGGAAUGUCAGGUGGGUCUGAUUGGAAUGGAGCUGAUCAACAUUAAACUGUGUGUUACAUUAAAGCAAGAUGUGGUACAAACUUCACAAUCAUAAGAUUAGGACUUGACUUGUUAAACAAUUCUGAAGUACUGGUAAGUUGUACAAUGAAACGACCCUAGGUGGAGUGAUUACUGUAAGUUUCACUGAAAGGCUACAUAAUGGGUUAACUGAAUAUAGAUGGAACAGCAUGGAUUUUGUUUGAAAUCAAAGGUCCCAGAUACCUUAAAACUAAGCAUUACACCAACUAGUAUAUUCAGAGACCCCAGUGCUGUAACUUUGUGCCUGUCAAAAUACCAAUUAUUGUACUUAAACAUAACAAAUAUUGUACAGGAUAACCCGGUUCUGGCAUUGACUUUGUAUGCCACACCAUUGUCAUGAAAUGCUAAAAUUAGGCAGCACUGUACAUUGAACUAGUUUGAGAUUGACCAAGAAAUCAAUUCUAGAGUUGUGGAGGGAUGAACUGAUCCAUUAUCCGCAAACAUGAGGA